GACGAACGCUGGCGGCGUGCUUAACACAUGCAAGUCGAGCGGUAAGGCCCUUUUGGGGGUACACGAGCGGCGAACGGGUGAGUAACACGUGGGUGACCUGCCCUCAGCUCUGGGAUAAGCCUGGGAAACUGGGUCUAAUACUGGAUAUGACCUUUCCUCGCAUGGGGUUGGGUGGAAAGCUUUUCGGCUGGGGAUGGGCCCGCGGCCUAUCAGCUUGUUGGUGGGGUGAUGGCCUACCAAGGCGACGACGGGUAGCCGGCCUGAGAGGCGACCGGCCACACUGGGACUGAGACACGGCCCAGACUCCUACGGGAGGCAGCAGUGGGGAAUAUUGCGCAAUGGGCGGAAGCCUGACGCAGCGACGCCGCGU
rnacentral:rRNA from 1 species